rnacentral:rRNA from 1 species
GAAACCGGGUGAUCUAGCCAUGGGCAGGUUGAAGGUUGAGUAACAUCAACUGGAGGACCGAACCGACUAAUGUUGAAAAAUUAGCGGAUGACUUGUGGCUAGGGGUGAAAGGCCAAUCAAACUCGGAGAUAGCUGGUUCUCCCCGAAAGCUAUUUAGGUAGCGCCUCGGACGAAUACUACUGGGGGUAGAGCACUGUUAAGGCUAGGGGGUCAUCCCGACUUACCAACCCUUUGCAAACUCCGAAUACCAGUAAGUACUAUCCGGGAGACACACGGCGGGUGCUAACGUCCGUCGUGGAGAGGGAAACAACCCAGACCGCCAGCUAAGGUCCCAAAGUAUUGCUAAGUGGGAAACGAUGUGGGAAGGCUCAGACAGCUAGGAUGUUGGCUUAGAAGCAGCCAUCAUUUAAAGAAAGCGUAAUAGCUCACUAGUCGAGUCGGCCUGCGCGGAAGAUGUAACGGGGCUAAGCAAUACACCGAAGCUGCGGCAAUAUCUUUUAGAUAUUGGGUAGGGGAGCGUUCUGUAAGCCGUUGAAGGUGAAUCGUAAGGUUUGCUGGAGGUAUCAGAAGUGCGAAUGCUGACAUGAGUAACGACAAAGGGGGUGAAAAACCUCCUCGCCGGAAGACCAAGGGUUCCUGUCCAACGUUAAUCGGGGCAGGGUGAGUCGACCCCUAAGGUGAGGCCGAAAGGCGUAAUCGAUGGGAAACGGGUUAAUAUUCCCGUACUUCUGACUAUUGCGAUGGGGGGACGGAGAAGGCUAGGUGGGCCAGGCGACGGUUGUCCUGGUUCAAGUGCGUAGGCUUGAGAGUUAGGUAAAUCCGGCUCUCUUUAAGGCUGAGACACGACGUCGAGCUGCUACGGCAGUGAAGUCAUUGAUGCCAUGCUUCCAGGAAAAGCCUCUAAGCUUCAGAUAGUCAGGAAUCGUACCCCAAACCGACACAGGUGGUCGGGUAGAGAAUACCAAGGCGCUUGAGAGAACUCGGGUGAAGGAACUAGGCAAAAUGGUACCGUAACUUCGGGAGAAGGUACGCUCUUGAUGGUGAAGUCCCUCGCGGAUGGAGCUGACGAGAGUCGCAGAUACCAGGUGGCUGCAACUGUUUAUUAAAAACACAGCACUGUGCAAAAUCGCAAGAUGACGUAUACGGUGUGACGCCUGCCCGGUGCCGGAAGGUUAAUUGAUGGGGUUAGCGCAAGCGAAGCUCUUGAUCGAAGCCCCGGUAAACGGCGGCCGUAACUAUAACGGUCCUAAGGUAGCGAAAUUCCUUGUCGGGUAAGUUCCGACCUGCACGAAUGGCGUAAUGAUGGCCACGCUGUCUCCACCCGAGACUCAGUGAAAUUGAAAUCGCUGUGAAGAUGCAGUGUACCCGCGGCUAGACGGAAAGACCCCGUGAACCUUUACUACAGCUUGGCACUGAACAUUGAACCUACAUGUGUAGGAUAGGUGGGAGGCUAUGAAGACGUGACGCCAGUUGCGUUGGAGCCGUCCUUGAAAUACCACCCUUGUAUGUUUGAUGUUCUAACUUAGCCCCAUUAUCUGGGGUGAGGACAGUGCCUGGUGGGUAGUUUGACUGGGGCGGUCUCCUCCCAAAGAGUAACGGAGGAGCACGAAGGUGGGCUAAUCACGGUUGGACAUCGUGAGGUUAGUGCAAUGGCAUAAGCCCGCUUAACUGCGAGAAUGACGGUUCGAGCAGGUGCGAAAGCAGGUCAUAGUGAUCCGGUGGUUCUGUAUGGAAGGGCCAUCGCUCAACGGAUAAAAGGUACUCCGGGGAUAACAGGCUGAUACCGCCCAAGAGUUCAUAUCGACGGCGGUGUUUGGCACCUCGAUGUCGGCUCAUCACAUCCUGGGGCUGAAGUCGGUCCCAAGGGUAUGGCUGUUCGCCAUUUAAAGUGGUACGCGAGCUGGGUUUAGAACGUCGUGAGACAGUUCGGUCCCUAUCUGCCGUGGGCGUUGGAAGAUUGAAGGGGGCUGCUCCUAGUACGAGAGGACCGGAGUGGACGAACCUCUGGUGUUCGGGUUGUGUCGCCAGACGCAUUGCCCGGUAGCUAAGUUCGGAAUUGAUAAGCGCUGAAAGCAUCUAAGCGCGAAGCGAGCCCUGAGAUGAGUCUUCCCUGACAGUUUAACUGUCCUAAAGGGUUGUUCGAGACUAGAACGUUGAUAGGCAGGGUGUGUAAGCGUUGUGAGGCGUUGAGCUAACCUGUACUAAUUGCCCGUGAGGCUUAACCAU